CCUAUUGUACAAAAUCCUAAUCUAUGUCAGUCUUCUAGAGUGAGAUAUAUUGUCAAUUCAAGAAAGAAGUUAUACGUUGGAAGACGUCUUCGGUGCAAGGAAUUGUGAGGCCACCCAUGGGAUGAUCAUAUCCAAAUUCAUCUUCAGCCUGACUCAACAAGCCUUGAAAUGAAGGUUGGUUCAAGUAUGAUAUGGGAAUCACAAACCGCUUUUGUUUCUCUCCAACAUACACUGCAAGAUAGCCCUUUGGGACUUCUGAAGAUUUUGAAGCUGCUUGGCUAGCUGUGAAUGAUGCUCGUCGAAUAGCAGGUAAUCGGAAACCCAUUUUUUGUGCUUGAUUGAAUGAAGUAGAAGAAUCUCAAAUCUUGAAGGAAGGAAUCCAAGUGUUGAAGCUUGAGGGUUGCAAUGGCAUGUGUUGUUUGUGAAGACAAGGGAUAGUGUAUAUAUAGUUUUUAAGAUUGUGUGGGAUGGAAACCCAAGUCCCUGAGAGGAAUAGUGUUAAAGGAUAGAGGGCAUACGCAUGAGAUAUCACAUGGUAUUGUCUUCAGUGCCUCUAUCAAGGAUAGAGUUGAAUGGACGUGUGAAACCCCACCUUAUUAAACAAUGACCAACAUAAAGUCUCCACUUGUAACAAAACUGAAUCCUAACUAUGGUUCAUUCAUUAGUAGGUAUUCCAUAAUUUUAUAGACAUGCUCUAAACAUGUUUUCUCACACUAUGUUUUAUUGCAGCUGGAAUAUAUUUUGUUGGUGAUGAAUUAUAAAGCAAGGGAUAGCGAAAUAUCAUAGAUCAUUAUAUACGUUUCUAUGGUUACAUUUGUAGUUUCUUCAAUGUUGUAGGUCAUGAAGGUUUUUAUUAGGAAGACUACAGGAGUGGAGGAAAGUGAAAGAAGAGAUUAUUUUCAUGCCAAAGAAUAAGCCGCCAUGGAGGGGUGUAACCACCUAUGGAUAAUCGGUUGGAGAACUAGGUAUGCACACAUGUUUUAGAUUCAAAUAUUCGUUACAAGAAAAUCAUUAGAUGAAAACUAAUUUUAGAGACAAAAAAUAAUUAUUUACUAUAUUGACUAAAUUAAAUAUUGUUUUGAAGACUAAAAUUUUUAUUGAUAUCUAAAUUAGUUUCUAUUAUGGAUAAAUAGUUUAUAAAUUGGUAUGUAAUUAUCUACCAAUAUUUUAGUUACCAACUUUAGAAUCUAAAUAAUUAGUAGCUAAAACUUGCUUACCCCUUUCAAUACUUUCUUAAGGUUUUUAUGAGAUAUUCAACCUUCUUUUGAAGAGAUUCACAACUUUUACAAACUUUUGCAACAACACAUCUACAAGAAUAGUUUUUAUAAAUGAUUUCCAAAUUCUCAAAAUUAGUUUUGGUGUUACUUAACUCUUAUUGUAAAGAUUUGACUUUAUUUUCUAACCAGAUGUUCAAACCUUUUGAAUUGUAAUUUGACAUGGCAGUGGUGUCAAGGAAAGCAAUCGAGCUGAACUUGGUUGAUAGUUUGGAUAUCAGGGUGAAGAAGCUAAAUGUGAAUAUGUUUCAAUUUGCGAAUGACGUUUUGUUAUUUUAUGAAGCCAAUAUUAAAAACGUGUUCACAAAGUAAUGUUGAAUUGCUUUGAGUUAGCAUAUGGCCUUAAGGUUAACUUUUCGAAAAGUAGGAUUGGUGGGUUGAGAGGAGAUAAGUCUGAGAUCCAACGGUUUGCCGCAUUACUCAAUUGUGACGUGAUGAAUACUCCUUUCAAGUAUUUGGGAUUGACCGUGGGGGGUUGCCAUAAGAGAAGUGCGUUUUGGGCCAGCGUGUUCGAAAGGAUGAAAAGCAUACUGGGUAGUUGGAAAGGUAGAUUCCUGUGACUGGCAGGGAGAGUUUGGUUGAUUAAGUUUUUUCUUACUUCCAUUCCUCUAUUUUACGUUUCUUUGUUUAAGUUGUCUUCUUCAGUGUUGAAGAAAAUUGUGAGAUUACAGAGGAUUUUUUUGUGGGUUUGGGGGUCGACUGGGAAGAAGAUUGCUUGGGUUUCUUGGAAAACAUUCUUUGAGCCUCGAGAAAGCUAGUCGUCUUGGUAUUUUGGAUCUACGGUUAUUCAAUGUGAAAUUGUUGGGAAAAUGGAUUUGGUGUUUGGGUUCCGACAAGGGAGGGUUGUGGAAAGAGGUUAUUGAAUCAAAAUACAGCGGUUGGAGGAGUCUAAAAGAGAAUAAGAGUCCUUUCACUGAGUUUUUGUAGUGGAGAGAUCUAAAGGGGAUUUGGAGGAUGGAGGAGUGGGGUAGGAAUUUUGAGGGAUGCCUUGAGUGGACAAUCGGUAAUGGAAAUAAUAUUUUGUUUUGGGAUGGUGUAUUCUUUGGGUUAUGAAGCUUAGAAGAAUAGGUUUCUAAGAUUGUUCUAUUUAAGUUUUAGCAAUGAAGCUUGCUUGGAUUCUUUUGGGGAGUGGGCCUCCAACUCUUGAAAUUGGGUUCUUUAGUGGAGAAAAGGAUUGUUCGAUUGGGAAAAGGAUAAGGAAUUUCAUCUUAUGAAGGAGCUUCAAGGCUCACAUCUUGUCUCGGGUAAGGAAGUUAACUGGGUGUGGAAGGAUAAAGCGAAUUCGGGGUACUCGGUCCGUUGGCCUACAGUAUUUUAAGGAAGUCUUGCAUCAGUGAAAGUUCGUCCUUGUUUGAAAUUUUUUGGAGGAUUAAAGUGUUACCUUCAGCUCUCUUUACUGCUUGGAGAGUGUUGGGUAAUUUGAUUGCUUCUAAGGCUAAUUUGGUUAUACGUGGGGUUAUAGUUGAUUCCUCCUCCUGUUGUUUGUGUCGAGAUGAAGUUGAGACUACAAGGCACUUGUUUUUUAAAUGCAGAAUAACUUAGUUAGUUUGGAGUCAGUGUCAUGCUUGGCUUGGGAUGGCGUUGGUAGAUCAUUCUGAUUAUGGUUCACAUUUCUUACACUUUAUCUUGUGAAAUUCCAGGCUAUUUAUUUAGUUUUUUGUCGAUAAAAAAAACUUGUUACCUACUCAUGAGUUUCUUUAAAAACAUCAACUAAUUGACGGUAAUUUUCAAACAUUUUAGAGGAAGAGGAACUUAAACAUCUCAUGUCAAAUAAAUGUCCAGCCAUCAAAAACAGGUUUCCUUCCUCAUCAUUCCUUGAUCUAUAGCAGGAAGAGAGUCAUCAUUGUCUUGCCAACCUAUGUAUGCUCUUCUUGCUUUCCCUCCUUUCUCUUGUUUCCUAUCAGGUCCUUUUCUUUGCUCAAAAUAUUUGGACAUUCAAUCUUGAUAUGUUCUUAUUUACCACAGCCAAAAUAGGAAUAGUAAUAAGUGUCAUAAUUCAGUAAUAUUUCAUACAAAAAUACAGGCACAUACAGUCUUUAAUUGAUAAAAUGGUUAUAAUUCAACCUCUAAUUUAGGAAUUUGAACAUUUUUUUAUUAUAUAUUUUUGGAUUAUAAGAUGAAUAUGAACGAUGUAUUCCCAAAUUUAAGGAAUCUAAGGGGAAAUGGAAAUAAAAUGGCUAAAGGAGAAUGGAAAAGUUAAAGACAAGAUGAAAAGGCAAAGUUGGAACUGUUAGAAUGUAUGGCUUUAAACUAGAGGGGGGGGGGUGAAUGGUUUAAAGAGGGUUUUCGCAAACUUUUAAGCCAAGAAUAAAAUUACUUCGAGAAACAAAUGACAAGGAAAUCAGUUUGCCAAAACACAAAGCAAAAACAACAGCACCAGAAAAAACAAUCGGUUGUUUCGCAGAAAAAAUCAGUUGUUUAUACUAGUUUGCAAAUAUUAAAACUGAAUUUAAAGAGAUUAAGGAUAGAGAGAAUGCACACAGAUGUUUAUACUGGUUCACUCUAAACCUAGAGCUACAUCCAGUCUUCUCAGAAACCAUUGAGGAAAUCCACUAAGCAAUCAAACCUAGAUCACUUACACCACAACCAAAGAAGUGACCUUGAUCCCCUCAAGACACACACUUCUCUUGGUCAACACACCAACACUAAGAAUGCUGAUCUUGAUCCCCUCAAGAAAACGCAACACUUCUCAGCAAACACACAAGGUUUCUUUCAACAGAUACAAGGAUUACACUUGUUACAGAAUGAAUCUGAAAUCAAUACAAGAGAAAAUCCUAUCUCACACUCUUUGAUCAAACUCAAAUAUCUAAAAGCAAUCUCAACUCUUUCAAAAAUCUCAAAAACUUAUGUAAAACCCAAAUCUGUUUUACUGUAUAUAAUCAGAGUUGUUUGUUAUCAAAUCUUAACAAACUAUUUAAUUGCAUUUAAAGAUUGGUCAAACACUAAAAACUGGAGCGUAAAUAGUUGGAAAAACAUUUAAUGCUUAGUCAAAGCACAAAACAGUUUUCUGUUAUGGUACCAAAACAAACAAUCGGUUGUUUCCACGAAUCAAUCGGUUGUUUUGGUUUUGACAGCAAGUCAACCAUAAAAACAGUUUUCAACCUUUUCUAAAAACACCUAAGUAUAAAACAAUCGGUUGUUUUGACAAAACAAUAGGUUGUUUUUCACUUAGUUUGAAAAACACUUUUCUUUUAAAAAGAUUGAGAAUGCCUAUGCUUUGGAUUCAAUCAAGAGUGGAUUACAUAUUAAAUCUACCCCAGAUCCUAUCUAAAAGGACAGCACAACAACAACAAGCAUAGCCAACCUUCAUCAUCCUUCAAAGGGUUUGGAUUCUUCAAAGCUUGAACACCACUUGGUUCAACAAUCUCCCCCUAUUUGAUGAAGACAAAUCCCUGGUGCUUGUGUUUGAUCUGAUUGAAUCUGAAGCAGUUCCUGUAUGACACAGUUUUAAGCAAAACAUAGAACUUCUGAUAUUUGGUUAGCACAGAAACAAAUACAGAAAUUCAGAACAUAGUACCAGAGCAAACAACAAACAAAUAUAAGAGCAAAAACCUAUAAGGUUUCACCCAUACAACUGUUUUGCAGAAAAUAAAAAGUGAAACCAAACACAACAUAAGUCUCCCCCUAUUUGUCUUCACAAAUAGACAAAAAUAAGAGAUGAAAAAGAUAAUUGUUCUUUAAUACAUAAGAUUUAAACAACAGAAACUGAAAACAGAAAAACUGACUCAAAUACCAAAAACAAUCGGUUGUUUCGAUAUAUCAACCGGUUGUUUUUCCUCUUCAUUCAUCAUCCGCAUAUUGAAGAUCAAAGAUCUGGUUCUGAACUGCCUCAAUCUGUUCAUCUAAGGUCAUGAAGUGUGCAUCCAUGCUGUUAAACCUGUUAUCAAUGCUUUGGAAAUUGCUGACACAUAGAUCAUGGAGAUUCCUUUGGUUCUCCGCAAAGCCAUCAAGCCUAUUGACCAUGUAUCUCUCAAAAGAAGACAUGGUUGGCAUUCCAUCUUCCUGAUUUCCAGCCUCAGCACUAGGUCCAACAUCUUGAUUUGUUUCAGGAUGUUCUUCAUGUUGAAACUCCAUAUCAGCAGCAUGUUCACCUUCUUCAAGAUCAGCAACAGCACUUGAUGAGGCACCAUGGUCACCAUCUUUGCUAAUCCAUUUGCCACCUAAUUUGGUGAAUCCCAUUUUGCUGAGAGAUCCAUUGUUCAACUCUUGAGUUGAGUUAACCAACUCAGAUGUUUCAUCCUCUAGGUUCACUUCAAAAUAUAGCAGAAAUUUAGAAAUCGAAACAACAUAUGGAUAGUGAUAGUCAUUUUACCUUCUUGCCUUUUGCAUGUGCUCUUUGAUGAUGUGGAUCCAAUUUAUUCUGAUCUUCUUCAUAAUGCAGUAGAUGUACACCAGGUCCUCCUCUGUAAGAACAGAAUGAUUGCUCCCCCUUGGAGUUAGAAUCCAAGUCACAAUAAGGGCCAACAACCUUUCAUCAAGCCUCAAGCCACCAACCGAACAAGUCCUAACUUGAGCAUUUUGAUUCUUCAAGCAGCUCUUGUAGUAUUGGGGUUUGUUGAAGUUCUCCACUACACCAAGGUUCCCCUUGUUGAUUCUGAGGCCGGAGUACUUUAGACCAGCUACUGCAGUCCACACAUCAUAUGUGAUCUCCAUAUCUACACCUUUUACAUGAGAAGCAAGGUUGUUUCCCUCAAACUUGAGAUUUGUGUAGAAAACUCUUAUCAAAUCUGGGUAGAUAUUGCCCUUCAUCUCCAAGAACUUUCUGAGGGAUUGAUCUUUGAGGAGCCUUCUAACAUUGUCCAGCUUUUGGCUUUUCAGCCAAUCAAAGCAAACAACCUUGAGGUUGUUUAUCACUUUGGUGCUAGUCUAAAACCUAUACCUCUCAAUUAGAUCAUUAUCACCAGAAAACCAUCCUUCUAGCCUUCCUCCAGACCUUACUGCUCUGGUUUUGACUCUCUUUGAGGUGGGAGAAGUUGAGUCCAUGAUGGCAGAGAAGAAACAGAGAGAAGCUCACACAAGAAUUGCAAGAGAUGUUGCAAUUGGUUGUUCUUGUGAAAUAGAUCAGCUGCAACAAAUUUUAUAGCAAUAACAGAAUCAUAAAGCAUUCAAUGACAUGAGUGGGUACCAGAUUUUUAGAGAGAAAAGACUUAACCAAGCCCUGCACAGAAAACGUCAGAAAAAGAAAAAAAAUCACAUGGUCAUCACAUGUGAUCUUUGACUAGUCAUUAAAGCUCUUAAAUUUUCAAGAUUUUGGAAUAUAUUCCUUUAUGAUUGUUGUAACUUCCUUCUGAGCGUGAUCAACUUUCAACACAGGUUCAUUGACCAAGGAUUCUUUCUUUAAUUUGAUUUGCAACGGAUAGAUUCAAAAAAGAAAUUAAAUUGAUUUCUUCCCAGUGCUGUUAGACACAAAACAAUCGGUUGUUUCGAAGAAACAAUCGGUUGUUUUUCAUUUGGAACCUCACAUCCUUUAAGAAUCCAUUUCAUGAAGACUUUGGGAACAAAAAACUUUCUUAUUUUGCAGAAUCUAAUCGAAUGGCCCUUUUUCAUGCAAUAAAAGCAUGUAACAAUCAGUUGUUUCGCCUUAACAAUCGAUUGUUUUACUGGCUUUCUUUAAAAAGUUUUUGAAAACUUUUCUUGUUGGUUUUGUGGAUUAAAACCUAAACCAGCCUUUCCGAAAACACAGCUUUGAGAUGCCAAGACAUUUUCAAAGUUAGAUUUCCCUUUCGAAAGCUUGUCCACAGUAUUAACAAGAUAAUGCACUUUCUUUUCAAGGUUUUCACAAUUUUCGCAAAUGAAAGUGUCACACUUAUAAGAAGAAUUUUUGAAAUGUGUUUCCAAAUUUUUGAAAUCAUUUUUAGAUUUUUCAAUCUCAUCUUCAAGUGCUUUCACUCUCUUUUCCAGCCAGCUGUUAAGAUCUUUCAAUCGGUUGUUUGAAAGCACCAAUCGAUUAGCUUCAUCGUGAGUUUCUUGAAAAGCUUCAAGCAAUUCACUAUAUUUUUGUUCAUUUAAAGAAGCACAAGAAAUUACUUCACUUGAGCUGCAAGAUUCAUCAUCAUCUUCAGCAAUCAAACAGAUGUUUGCUUUCUUAUCUUCACUUGAUGAAGAGCUUGAUAAUGAUACCUCAUUCUCAUCCCAAGCUAUGUAGGCUCUCUUUGUCUUGCUCUUCUUUUCCUUAUAGCUAGGAUUUUUCUCCUUGCUUUUGUUUGGGCAAUCUGCCUUUAUGUGACCUUGCUCACCACAACCAAAACAAGUAUAGUUAUUGGAAUUAAAAUCAUUAGAUUUCUUGUUUCCAUACCUGUCAUUGUUGUUAUCCUUGUUGUGGUUCCUCUUCAAGAAUUUGCUAAACUUUCUGGAUAGCAAGCUAAGGUUUUCUUCAUCACUAUCAUUGUUGGAUUCUUGUUUGCCUUUGUGCUUGGAAGCUUUUAAGGUUAUACUUCUUACAUGAUUGUCUUCGCUUUCUUGAACGUUGAGUCGAUUCAUCUCUAACUCAUGUUCCCUAAGCUUGCCAAACAAAGAAGCCAUACUUAAGGAUGUUAGAUCUUUAGAUUCGGAUAUAGCAGUUACCUUAGGUUGCCAUGCUCUAUCAAGACAUUUCAAAAUCUUGAUGUUUAACUCUUCCUAUUCAAAGGUCUUGUCAAGGCUCAUGAGAUGAUUGAUGAUGUGCGUGAAUCUUUUCUGCACUUCAGCAAUUGUUUCACCUUUGAGCAUUCUGAACAUCUCACACUCUUGGAUUACAGUAUGCUUCCUAGCUCUCUUCACCUCAUUUGUACCUUCAUGAGUUACCUCCAAAGUGUCCCACAUUUCUUUUGCUGAUUUGCAUUGAGAGACCCUGAAAAACUCAUCCGAAUUCAAAGCAGAGGUUAUUAUGUUUUUAGCAAUGCAAUCAAAUUUGGCCUUCUUACUUUCAGAAUCAGUCCAUUGAGACCAAGGCUUUUCAAUGGAAGAUCCAUCUUUUUCAAACUUUGGGACAAAAGGACCAUUUUCAAUUGUAUCCCAAAUUCCUUUGUCAAGUGAUUCCACAAAGAUUUUCAUUCUCACUUUCCAAAAUUGGUAGUUCAAACCACAAAACAGAGGUGGUCUGUUGAUUGAAGCACCUUCCCCAAAAGGUAGUCUAUCAGCCAUUAAAAAAUAGUUUUAGGAUCAACUUGAAUAACUUUCAAGAACCAAGCUCUUGAUGACAAUUGUUAGAAUGUAUGGCUUAAAACUAGAGGGGGGGGGGGGGGUUGAAUGGUUUAAAGGGGGUUUUCGCAAACUUUUAAGCCAAGAAUAAAAUUACUUCGAGAAACAAAUGACAAGGAAAUCAGUUUGCCAAAACACAAAGCAAAAACAACAACACCAGAAAAAAGAAUCAACAAUCGGUUGUUUAUACCAGUUUGCAAAUAUUAAAACUGAAUUUAAAGAGAUUAAGGAUAGAGAGAAUGCACCCAGAUGUUUAUACUGGUUCACUCUAAACCCAGAGCUACAUCCAGUCUUCUCAGAAACCACUGAGGAAAUCCACUAAGCAAUCAAACCUAGAUCACUUACACCACAACCAAAGAAGUGACCUUGAUCCCCUCAAGACACACACUUCUCUUGGUCAACACACCAACACUAAGAAUGCUGAUCUUGAUCCCCUCAAGAACACACAACACUUCUUAGCAAACUCACAAGGUUUCUUUCAACAGAUACAAGGAUUACACUUGUUACAGAAUGAAUCUGAAAUCAAUACAAGAGAAAAUCCUAUCUCACACUCUUUGAUCAAACUCAAUCUCUAAGCAAUCUCAACUCUUUCAAAAUCUCAAAAACUUAUGUAAAACCCAAAUCUGUUUUACUGUAUAUAAUCAGAGUUGUUUGUUAUCAAAUCUUAACAAACUAUUUAAUUGCAUUUAAAGAUUGACCAAAGCAUUAAAAAUUGGAGCGUAAAUAGUUGGAAAAACAUUUAAUGCUCAGUCAAAGCACAAAACAAUUUUUUGUUAUGGUACCAAAACAAACAAUCGGUUGUUUCCACGAAUCAAUCGGUUGUUUUGGUUUUGACAGCAAGUCAACCAUAAAAACAGUUUUCAACCUUUUCUAAAAACACCUAAGUAUAAAACAAUCGGUUGUUUUGACAAAACAAUAGGUUGUUUUUCACUUAGUUUGAAAAACACUUUUCUUUUAAAAAGAUUGAGAAUGCCUAUGCUUUGGAUUCAAUCAAGAGUGGAUUACAUAUUAAAUCUACCCCAGAUCCUAUCUAAAAGGACAGCACAACAACAACAAGCACAACCACCCUUCAUCAUCCUUCAAAGGGUUUGGAUUUUUCAAAGCUUGAACACCACUUGGUUCAACACGAACAUGGAAAACUCGCCCAAGCAAGAUCACUCCAUAUGAAUGAUGACUACUUUAGGAAAAGUGUACCGCGUUCUGAAGUAAUAAUUUCUCCCUAAGCACGGAUACCUAAUCCACAAAAAACAAUUGAAUUAUCAAGUAUAAGAUUCACUAAAUAUAAAACAUAAUAAUAAAGUAUGUUGGGUUAUGAUUGCAAGAAUUCUAAAGAAAGCAAGUUAAAGAGCUUGUUGGUUCAAUUGGGAAAAUUGAAAUUGGGGUUCAUCCUUUUUACGCUUUCGUAUUUUCAAAAACAUAGUAAUAUUUUAUCCUUUGAUUGAUGUUUAUGCCCAUAUGAAAUUUAUUUAUAUUGAUUCCUCACAUAUAAAAUUAUUAAGAGACUCUCCUGAGUAUCAAUUCCUCGCAUAUUUAUAAAAACUCUUUUUCAUCACCAUUCGAUGUUGAUAGCAAUUAACAAUUCAAAUCUAUUUCUAGAAUUCAAAUAUGUUAAGCAUUAUCAUUUGGGUCUGAAACUUAGAGAUACUUUUCAGUCAAAUCUAAGGAUCUAAAUCAUGAUAAACAAGCAUUACAAAUAAAAUGACAAUACUAACCAUCAAUCAAGAAAAAAAUAUUAUAUUUAAAUAUCACCUCAAUAAAUAAGAGUUUGAACAGAUUACUCCCAAUCUCAAAGGGUAAAAUUAGCCUCGCAUAUUUAUAAAAACUCUUUUUCAUCACCAUUCGAUGUUGAUAGCAAUUAACAAUUCAAAUCUAUUUCUAGAAUUCAAAUAUGUUAAGCAUUAUCAUUUGGGUCUGAAACUUAGAGAUACUUUUCAGUCAAAUCUAAGGAUCUAAAUCAUGAUAAACAAGCAUUACAAAUAAAAUGACAAUACUAACCAUCAAUCAAGAAAAAAAUAUUAUAUUUAAAUAUCACCUCAAUAAAUAAGAGUUUGAACAGAUUACUCCCAAUCUCAAAGGGUAAAAUUAGCCACUCAUGUUGGCCAUUACAAGAAUGGAAAACGAGAAAAGAAGAUUUAGGAUGUUUCUUUUUUACGAUUAUCUCCUCUAGGGUUUUCUAUCUCCUUCUAUUCUCCUAAUUUAUGUCUAGGAUUGUGCCUUACAUCUCAUAUUUAACCUACUUAGGCUUGGGCUAAGUGUCUUCUCGCCUAGGCGAGUUGGACGAAAACAUGACAUCUUUGGAGUGAUCUUCUGAUACAAUCCAAGUAGCCAAGAAGAUGACCAAGGACUCAAGAGACAAUUCACACUGUGAGCAGUCAUCUAAGCAAUCAGGUCAAGGCCCCACCAAAUAUCAGGCGGGCCUCACUAGAAGAAGAACUUGGCAUAAACCAGAACAUCAAUUGUUCUUUCUUCUGGUCUUCUUAAAACACAAAAACAUGUUUGUAAAUAAUUUAGACUCACUUUUGGGGUCCAAAUAGAAAAAUAGGCUAGAGCAUGUUCACAUAGCAUAAAAAGGAGUGUACUUAGCGAAAUGGGCUUAUACCAAGCCCACUUUUUCAAGACAAGGCACCUAGAAUUAGGGUUUUUAACCUAGCUUCUAGAAGUUAAGCCUAAAGGUGCGAUUUUGACCAUGGUCAACACCCUAGGCAGCCCUUCCUAUAAAUAGAGUGUCUUGCCUAAUGUAUUUUCACCUAGAUUUUGAAUGUAGUAAAGAAACUCCACUUGAGUGAUUAGUGAGCUUUGUUUCCUAAAUGUUUUGGGUCUUUUCUUGAGUGUGUGAGAAUUUCAAGUGGCGGCUCUUCCUUCACUUAUCUUGGAGUUUCCCACUCUCCAAAUAUCAUUUUCACCAUUCUUCACCAUAAGCUUCCUUCAUCUCAUCUCUUUUUCCAUCCUUCCUUGCACCAUUUAUGUUACUUGUUUAUGUUCUUGUUUGUAUCAUUUUUUAUCUUGCAGAGGAUUCGAACGUCGAAGGUUUCGCCACGUCAAACUCUAUCUUCCACCUCCUCAACCGCGACAAGUGCAAGAACGCUCCAAGCACUUCACAAGAACUCCAAGCAAACCUGCGAAACACACCAAACGGCGCCUCUAGCGGCCGAUUGCACUCCGACGCUCAAGUCAGUCUUACAAAACCACCAAAGAACUAAGAAUCUCUGCGAGACUCGUGUGUACUUUGUGUGUGUGUGAACUAGUAACUUGCAAGAAUGAAUCUUACCUUUCCUUUGCAUGAGCGCGGAAUGCCUUUUAUAUACUAUGUUGCACGCCUAAGUUAUCCGCGUACGAAGUAACUUAGCGCGUUUUUCCACUAGGUGUCUCGUGCCAGCUCAGCGUGAGUACCAAGUGUGGCUUGGCUAAGCGCACGCACCAGGCAUCACCUACUGUGUGAACGAUCACCUCUGCUUUGCACUAUGCACGUUAUGGGCUAAGAGAGUACCAACCACCGACUGACGUACUAGCUCUCUUAGGCCACUCUCGUGCACAACACCAUAAAGCACAUAACUUCCCCAUUCUCUGAUACUCUGCCACACAAGGCUCGUAUGCAACGCUCUCGCUGGGAAACGUCCUUCGCUUCUAGCUUAAUUGCGUGCAACACGAAAACCCGAUGACCAUCGCUCACACCGGAUGACCGAUCGGUGCCCUUUAGCACUUAUCUAGGCGGUGAUCGCGCAUCCUCUCUAAUCACCGCCCCCUGAUCACCGGUCACCACCCUGGGUGACUCUCUUAAUGACACAUCCGCUUCCCUGGCCCACGUGUCCCACUGAGAACGGUCCACGUGGCUAUCCUUUGCUGAUGUCACCGACUACCGAUGACCGACCGGAUCAAUUUUCUUUUGGUCAUCUUCAUUCAUCCUUAACUUUCGUUAUUCUUAAUUUUCGCCCUUUGCAUCAUAAUCACCUUAUCUUUGUGUUUUUCUCUUUACUCUUCUGAACUGAACCUUCACACUUACUUAACCACUUAGUUAAGUUCGUGUCCAAUGAGAAUCUUUUUAGGUUUCUCACCUUAAAUUGCUAAUCUCAAAAUCAUGAACAGAAGCAACCAAUUAAAACAUGAAAUCCUAAAAUCAACUCACAUCAUCUUGUCUGGGCAUGACUGAGAUCACUUAGGCGAGAUCCUCUGGGAGCUUAUGACUUAGGCAAGUUUGGGCGAGUGUUUGGAGCAUUCUAGCUUUCCCUUGUUAUCUUCACUAGUGCAAAAAGAAGAAAAGGAUACGUUUUAUUUAGUGCGGCUUUUGCGCUACCCGCUUUCGUAAAAAACGCGGUGGCAUUUUUGAAAUUAUUUUGAUUUACGAAUGCGGUUAUUUGAAUAGCCGCAUUCGUAAAUCAAAGCACUUGAUUUAUGAAUGCGGUUAUUUGUAUAACCGCACUUGUAAAUCAAAGCACUUGAUUUACAAAUGCGGCUAUUUGUAUAGCCGCAUUCGUAAAUCAAAGCGCUUGAUUUACGAAUGCGGUUAUUUGAAUAACCGCAUUCGUAAAUCAAAAUUCUUUGAUUUACGAAUGCGGUUUUACCUUUAACCACAUUCGUAAAUCCAUAUUUACCCUAAAUUUUGAAGCGCGCCACACACAAUUUCAAACUUUAUUUCUCGUCUUUUCCUUUGUUUCGCGUUCGCACUCUGAGUUCGUCUCUUUCUGCUGCUCACAAUUCCAUUUGUGCAAUGUAAGUUUUUGAACUCUCUUUCUUCCUCUUCAUCUUCACAAAUAUAUGCAUAAAUGUUUUUCGUUUUUCUUAUAUAUGGUUUUUUCCUUGCAUUGGUGGUCUCGAAGCACUCUUUCGUUGGCUGACAUUCGUUUUUCUUACAUUGUUUGGUUUCUCGCAUUGCUUAGUACUCUUUCAUUGUUUUCGUGGUUUCUUGUGGAUUUUUUGGUUUGCUCUGUUGUUGCUUCCCUGUCCGCCGUCGCUUCUGCUGCCGCCACCGUUGUUGGCGCUCCCGUGACUCUUUAUCAACGUUGGCUUCACACAAGAUUGACGAUGUUUUAAAAUUUAUUUAUUUUUUAAUGAUUUGGCAUAUACAAGUGCGGUUAAAGCAAAUAACCGCACUUGUAAAUGGUAUUUAUAAAUGCGGCUAUAUAGCCGCAUUUAUAUUUCUUGAUUUACAAGUGCGUGUUGAUCAAAUGUGGCUAUAAAGCCGCAUUUAUAAAUUUGAAAUAGCCGCAUUUGUUUUAUGUUUAUGCACUAGUGCUUGUAUAUUCUCUUUUUGCCCUUUCAUCUCUAUUUUUUCCUUAGAAUGUAGAAAUUAACACAAAUUUGGGAAUAGAUCGUUCUUAUUCAUAUUAUAAUCACAAAAUAUGUAAAAAGGGGUAAAUUUAUAAAUUAGGGGUUAUAUUAUAGUUAUUUUAUCAAUUAAUAUACAUAAGUGCUUGUAUUUUAAUAUGAAAUAUUACUUAAAUAUGGAACUUCUCAAGGAACUAACUCAAGACUUUCCCAAGACGCGCUUAAGCGAUUUCAUUCCAGUGAAGUUGGGCUUCUUCUCGUGAAACUUUUUUAACCAAGCAAUAUCUCUCUUGAGCGAGAUAUGACUUAGCCCAAGCCGAAUUAGGUUAAAUAGAAUGCGUGAGGCGUAACCUUAGACAUCAUUGGAAGAAUAUUACUUCUCAUGAAAUUAAAGUAAAAUAUAAAGAACAAAGUGGAAUAAUAUGUUUUCUGAUAAACACUAGCAUAUAAAUGAGUUCAUAGAAUCCUUACACUUUUCAAAAAAGGUUUUGACAUAAAUGAGUUCUAGUCUUUUUUUUUUUUAUAAAAUCAUUUCCUUCAAUAAUGUUUGCCAUUAUGUAUGAGAUGUGAUAUUAAUUUUGAGUCAUAUAUAACCAUAUGGUUGACUGAAGAAAAGCAGGUAAAUUUUAGUAUUGUAGUAAUUUGUAGCUAACUCUUUUAUUGACUCUAUUAUUAAUAUGCACACAUCAAAUUUUGUCUGCUGCAUUGAUUUGGUAAACUAGAACUUUACUACUUUGUAUAAUAUUUUCAUUUGCAUUACCAUUCACUAUGCAUCCUUUCCCUUUAGUUUAGGUUGGUUUGCAAUUUUUUUUCAAUUAUUGCUCAGUUAGGCUUAUCUUAAAAAUUCAUUGACUUUUUGUCAAUUGCUUUAUCAACAGAACAUGGAUCAGUUUCCAUCAAAUCGUUGAGGGAUGUAAGAUAGGUGUCAUAGAGGAAGAGCUUCUUUGAAAGAGUCUUCUAUAUUGGGAAUUGAAGAGUUUAUAACCAAAGCUUGCCAACAAGAAUGUUAUCAAAAUGAUGGGGGAAAUACGAUGUCCGUGUAGUAAGUGUGAUUGUACAAGAGUUUCGGAGGAAUGACAUGUGAAAGUUCAGUUUUACAAACAUGGUUUCAAAUCUAAUUAUUCGAUUUGGAAUGAUCAUGGUGUGGACAUCCUAGAUGGUGACUUGUAUAAUGACGAUAAUUGCAUGGCUUUGGGAAUGGAUGGUGUAACAAAAUGUAAACCUGUACACAAUUACAUACGAAUAAAUUCGUAUGUAAAACUGCACACACUUACAUACGAUUUUUUUCCUAUUUAAACUUGUACACACUUACAUACGUAUUUUUUCGUAUGUAAACCUGCACAUACUUACAUAUGGAAUUUUUCGUAUGUAAGUACAUACGGGUUUUACAUAUAGAUUUUUCCGUAUCUAAUUACAUACGGAAAAAUCCGUAUGUAAUAUCCGUAUGUAAUAUUAUUAAUAUUAUUAAGUAUAAUAAAAAUCAUAAUAAUACUAAAGAAUUUGUGUGUGGUAGUGGGUAAAUUUUUUUUUGGUUACUGAAGGAACCUGGUUUCGAAUCCCAUUCACUACUAAUUUUAUUUUAUGGUGCCAAAGUUACAUACGAAUAUAAUUACAUACGGAAUAGAAUCCAUAUGUAAUGUUGAUUUUACAUACGGAUUUUGAUCCGUAUGUAAUAAUCCGUAUAUAAUUCGCGUUUUUCUUGUAGUGGUUUUACAUACAGAUUUAGUGUCUUACGUACGAAUUUGAGUUGUAUGUAAUUCCAAAUUUUCUUGUAGUGUGUAUUCAGGUGAUAUUUACAUAUAAUAUUUUGUUCUUGAUUGAUGAUUGGUGUUGUAAUUUUAUUAUUAAUAUUUGAAUGUUUAUUCAUGACUUUUAUCCUUAGAUUUGAUUAGAAAAUACUUUGAAGCAUCUUAUCUAAAUGUUAAUCCUUAACAUAUUUGAAUAUUAGGAAGACAUUUGAAAUGGUAAUUUUUUUGUAACAUUUGUUUGUAAUGAUAAGUGGUUUUUAUAAAUAUGUGAGGAAUUGAUAUUAGGAAACAUUCUUAAUAAUUCUGUAUGCGAGAAAUCGAUAUUAAUGAUUUUUAUAUGUGCAUCAAUGUCAACAAAGAUGGCAUGUUAUAUGCUUUUAUUCAUAAAAAUACAAACGAGUGAAACGAAUGAACCCCAAUCCUAAUUUUUCCAAUUGACUCAUCCAAAUCAUUUACUUUGCUUUUAUUUAAUUUCUUACAAACUUCUGAUACAAACAAACCUUUCUAACAAACUGAUGGAUAUCCACUAGGAGAGGAUUUUAUUAAUGAAGGAAGAGGAUUUUCACCUACACAUUUGAAGUUCUUCCUUCUAGUCUUCUCACAAAUUAAAAGAAGUCAAAGAGAAGAUCAAGCCUAAAGAUAAAGAAGUCUACAAACUCUCAAAUAAUAGGCUUCAUAUUAAAUAUCUCUCUUUAUAGUUUCUUUUAAAUUGUAAAUAAUAUAGAAUAAUGUUUAGAAAGGUGCUUAGAGGGAAACAUGAGACACCUCUUUUGUAAAAGCAUCUUUAGGCUUUAGUUUAGCAAAUUCUAGAAGCUUGGGGAGUGAGCUUAGUAAGGGGGGUGUGAUCUUAGGAGCUUUUUGGGUAGCUUAGGGAAUAAGCUAUGUAAAUGACCAGCCCUUACUCCUAUAAAAGGAGGGCUUAGGUCCUUCACAAUUCAGAUUGGAAUUUUAUAGUAGAGAGACUAUACUCAAAUUUGGAGAGAAAUUGUGAGUCUUGAGUCUUCUUCUUCCUUUGCCUUAUCUUGUGAGCUAUGGUGAGCUUCAAGUGGCGGCACUCCAUCACUUAUCUUGGAUCAAGGAACCAAGUGGCGUGAAGUGUUCUUCCAAUUCUCAAAAUCCAGCAAACUCCUUCUAUAAGUGUUCUUCCUUCAUGUUCUUUCAAUUCCAUUCGGUAGAAUAGCUUUGUUUGUUGUUUCUUUUCAUUUGUACCGAUUAGAUUUCUGUUUCCAGCAUUGUUUUCUUGUUUCUGUUCGGUGCAGUUUCAUUCAUUUCCAUUUUCUGUUCGGUUUAUCAUUUGUGUUCUUCCAUUCCUUGUGUUUUGAUUCCAUUUGACAAUAUAUGGACUUCCAUAUGAGUCUUGGUUGGUGCUAAGUCUUGGUGAGUUCUUGAAUUAGAACAUUGAUCCAAUUCUAAGUAAAGUGCCAUUUAUGACCAGCUCAAGUUGCUCCUAAGAAUGUCAAAAAAUCUUGUAUUCUUGUUGUUGCAUUCACAUCACAAACUUUGACACAUCUUUUCAUAUUUUGUGAAUAUUAUACUUGAGAUUUUAGAACUAUUCCUUGUGGGUUUGAUAUCUGUCCUUAAAGACAAUUUAUUACUUCUGACUCGGUACACUGUCAUAAAAUAAUCAUCAAGUUUUUGACGCAGUUGUCAGGGAACAAUUUUAAUUUUAGAGUAUUAAUUCCUAAAUAUUGUGAAUAUUUUAAUUGUUUAUUGUUUUAAAUUUUUAAAAUUCAUUUUAUUUUAUUUUCAUAUUUGUUUUAAGUUUUAUAAUUUAAAAUUUUUAUUAUUUUUAUUACUAGUUACUCCUUGUGCUAAUCCUUUAGCGAGUUGUCUUAUAUGCUAUUAAGAGGGCAAGUUUCUAAAGACCAAUUGUAAUAUGUAUCAAAGAUAGAAAAGGAAACUCGGAAGAUCAAGGUUAAAAAGAGAAAAGAAAACAAGUAGAAAUUAGAGAAGAAUCCUACCCCACUUUUAUCCUUCACAUUUAAAUUUUUCAGCAAGAAAGCAACAUGGUUGAAGAACAACCACCACAGCCUAAAAGAACACUUGGAGAUUAUGUUAUGGAAUAGGAGCCGGGGCAUUUUUCUAAUACUGCAAUACAUGCUACCACUAAGGCCUUGGAGAUGAAACCUGCAUUCCUCAAUCUAUUAAGUAUCCGUCAAUUUACAACAAUGGACCACGAGGAUCCAUAUACACAUUUGUCUACAUUCUAUUGGUGAGAACCAUAUACUUUAAAUCAGGUAAUAUAUGGAAACAAAAAAUAUUAAUAAAAUAAUAAUGAAAUAUUCAGAAUAUUUAGGAAUUCGUACUUUAAAAUUAAAAAUCAUUCAUAUCAAUUCUUUGCAUACAAAAUUAUUGAGAGUUUUCUAAAUAUCGAUUUCUUGCAUAUUUAUAAAACCUCUUUAACAUUACAAUAGAUGUUACAAAGCAAUUAACAUUUCAAAUAUAUUCCUAGCAUUUAAAUAUGUUAAGCAUUAUCAUUUAGGUCAGAUGCUUAGAAGUACUUUCUAGUCAAAUCUAAGGAUCAAAACCAUGAAUAGUUUCAAGCUUUGAGAAUAAAAUGAUAUAACAUCAAUCAUCAAUCAAGAACUGAAUAUUAUAAAUAAGUAUCACCUCAAUACAUAAAAGUUUGAACAGAUUAAGGAAGAACUAGCCACUCAUGUUGGCUAUUACAAACAUGGAAAACAAGAAAAGAAGAUCUAGGGUGUUUCUCCUUGAUGGAUGUCUCCUAUAAGAUUUUCUAUCUCUUAAUAUCCUCUCAAUUAUGUCUAGGGUUAUGCUUCACGCAUUCUAUUAUAGGAUUAUUAUGAAGAGGAUAUUAAUAAUCCUGAUAAAUGAAUAUAUAUGUCAUAGUAUUCAUUUAAUUAUUUCUUAAUUUACAAAUAUAAAUGAUAUACAUUUGAAUGUGAUCAUUGAACGGAUUGAAAGAAAGAUUUUCUAAUGGUUACCUCGUUCUGUGGAGAAUAAAUUCUCAAGAAGUAAAGAAAUGUUUUCUUUGACCAGGGAUUAUUAAGUCAAUUGAUAAUUUAUUUAUUAUAUAUUAUUGAUUUCGGACAACUUUUGCUUUAGAGCAGAUGAAUGGAUAUUGAAUAUAAUUGAAUGCUUGUGAGAUUAAUGAUUAUUCAAGAAGGCAACCAUCAAGUCAGGUAAUGAGUUUGAGUUGUAUGAUAAAAUUAAAACUUUGGUUAUGGUAGAUUGAAUGAAGGAAGAAAGAAGAUUUUCAUAAGUCAUUUAUGAUAAAUGAACAUACUGGAGUUUGAAAUUUUACCAUACUAUAGAGUUAAUUUAUAGCUUACAAGAUGGAAGAAAAAAUUGUAUUAAUAAGGCUACCGAUGCAUUAUGAAGAUAAAAAAUGGAUUAAAAAUAUGCAUGCAUUGUAUAUAAGCAGUUAUCAUAUAAGACAAUUGUAGAUUGUUUCCUUGUGUGUCAACAUAUUGCUUCAUUCUCAAUCUAAGUACAUAAUGAUUAAAAUCCUAAACCAGUAUGUGAUCUCUGGCAAGCCUCCGGAGCCUGAGAAUUCUUGAAUCAGAAACAUGUGUACAUACUUACCCUACCAAUUAACAUCCAUAUGUGGUUGCACCCCUCCAUGGCAGCUUAUUCUUUUACACAUGCAUGUACAUAAUCUCUUGAUUCUUUUUCCUCCACUCUUGUAGUUUUCCUAAUAAACAUUCAUGACAUGCAACAUUGCCGUAACUACAAAUGUCUUUUAUUUUGCCUUUUGUUUUCUAUUAUCAGUAACAACUCCCGAUUCCAUGCAGAAAUAUCUUUUAUAUGUUGCUUCAGUGUAUUUAAAUUGCUUGAAAUAUAAGAGAUGCAUUCCUCCAACCUCAGAAACAUAUAUAAUUGAUCUUGCAGGGGAUUCGAACGUCAAAGGACUCGCCAUGUCAAACUCUGUCUUCCGCAAGAACGCUCCAAGCACUUCACAAGAACUCCAAGGGAACCUGCGAAACACAACAAACGGCGCUUCUGGCGACUGAUUGCACUCCGACGCUCAAGUCAGCCUCGCAAAACCACCAAAGAACUAAGAACUAUGAAUCUCAGCGAGACUCGUGUGUACUCUGUGAUUCUCUCUUUCUCUGUGUGUGUAAACUAGUAACUUGCACGAAUGAAUCUUACCUCCCCUGCAUGAGCGCAGAGUGCCUUUAUAUACUCUGUUGCGCGCCUAAGUUAUUCGUGUAUGAAGUAACUUAGCGCGUUUCCUUCACUAGGCGUCUCGUGCAACCUCAGCGUGAAUACCAAGUGUGGCUUGGCUAAGCGCACGUACCAGGCAUCACCUACUGUGUGAACGAUCACCUCCGCUUUGCUCCAUGCACGUUAUGGGUUAAGAGAGCACCAAUCACCGACUGGCUGCUAACUCUCUUAGACCACUCUUGUGCACGGCACUACAAAGCACAUAACUUCUCCUUUCUCUGAUACCCUGCCGCACAAGGCUCGUAUGCAACGCUCUCGCUGGGAAUCACCCCUUGUUUCCACCUUAACUACGCGUAACACAAAGACCCGACGGUCAUCGCUUACCCCAGACGACCAAUCGGUGCAUCAUAGCGCCGCGCCUUCUGUCUCUAGGCGCUGAUCGCACAUCCUCUCGGACCACCGAUCACCCCCUGAUCACCGAUCACCCCCUGGGUGACCCCCUCAAGGACACAUCUGCUUCCCUGGCCCACAUGUCCCACUAAGAACGGUCCACGUGGCUAUCUGUUGAUGACAUCAUCGACGACCGAUGACCGGAUCAAUAAUGAUCUAGAUAUUUCGCUACCCCUUGCUCUAUAAUUCAUCACCCACAAAAUACAUUCCAGCUGCAAACAACAUAAUGUGAGAAAACAUGUUUACAGCAUGUCUAUAAAAUUAUGGAAUACCGAUGAGUGAAUGAACAAUAGGUGGAGACUUUUAUGUUGGUCAUUGUUUAAUAAGGUGGGGUUUCACACGUCCAUUCAACUCUAUCCUUGAUAGAGGCACUGAAGACAACACCAUGUGAUAUCUCAUGCAUAUGCCCUCUAUCCUUUAACACUAUUCCUCUCGGGGAUUUGGGUUUCCUUCCCACACAAUCUUAAAAACUAUAUAUACACUAUCCCUUGUCUUCACAAACAACACAUGCCAUUGCAACCCUCAAGCUUCAACACUUGGAUUCCUCCCUUCAAGAUUUGAGAUUCUUCUACUUCAUUCAAUCAAGCACAAAAAAUGGGUUUCCGAUUACCUGCUAUUCGACGAGCAUCAUUCACAGCUAGCCAAGCAGCUUCAAAAUCUUCAGAAGUCCCAAAGGGCUAUCUUGCAGUGUAUGUUGGAGAGAAACAAAAGCGGUUUGUGAUUCCCAUAUCAUACUUGAACCAACCUUCAUUUCAAGGCUUGUUGAGUCAGGCUGAAGAUGAAUUUGGAUAUGAUCAUCCCAUGGGUGGCCUCACAAUUCCUUGCACCGAAGACGUCUUCCAACGUAUAACUUCUUUCUUGAAUUGACAAUAUAUCUCACUCUUGAAGACUGACAUAGAUUAGUGGAGAAAUUUUGUACAAUAGGCAUCUCCUCAUCUUGUAAAGUUUUUUCCCUUUCUCGAGAAAUAGGGAAAAGAACAGAAUGAAAAAAUCAAAUUGUAUAAUUCUUUUGUUUAUAUGCCAUGAAUUCAAUCAACAUGUAAACAUCUCCUUUUCUAUGGACAAACAUUUAGAAUCAGAACUUCAUAUUUCGUAUAGCUUAUAUUUACUUGGUUGAUUAACAAUACUAUGCCAAUGAUACAUAUACCGCUAUGCAUAAUUGAACUGAGUAAAAAUUCUUUCACACGGAAUUCAAUUGCCGUUCUCUUUCUGAAUCUCUUCAUUACUACUUUCUAUUUAGCUUCCUUGUGUUGUGGUUAUGAUAUGUAUAAAUCUUUAAGUCAUAACUGUGACUCUUUUCCAUUGGAUAAAUUGAUUAAUAACAAGUGGAAGAAAUGCGAAAUGUGACUUUGAAUAAUCUGCAAAUUUUGCUGAUGGAAAUACAAAUAGAUUAGAAGGGACAGAUUUGUACAUAUGGCUUUUUUUGUUUUAUUAUAUACUUACAACAGCUUCAUUACAAAAUUUAACUUGAUACAUAUAUACCAGCGUGAGUCACAAUUGUGAUACAAAUAAUACAAUUUGUACAUAGUGCUUUAGUGAUUGAAUUCAUGGCAUAUAAACAAAAGAAUUAUACAAUUUCAUUUUGUCAUUCUGUUUCUUUUCCCUCUUUCUCGAGAAAGGGAAAAAACUUUACAAGAUGAGGAGAUGCCUAUUGUACAAAAUUUCUCCACUAAUCUAUGUCAGUCUUCUAGAGUGAGAUAUAUUGUCAAUUCAAGAAAGAAGUUAUACGUUGGAAGACGUCUUCGGUGCAAGGAAUUGUGAGGCCACCCAUGGGAUGAUCAUAUCCAAAUUCAUCUUCAGCCUGACUCAACAAGCCUUGAAAUGAAGGUUGGUUCAAGUAUGAUAUGGGAAUCACAAACCGCUUUUGUUUCUCUCCGACAUACACUGCAAGAUAGCCUUUUGGGAUUUCUGAAGAUUUUGAAGCUCUUCGAAUAGCAGGUAAUCGAAAACCCAUUGUUGUGCUUGAUUGAAUGAAGUAGAAGAAUCCCAAAUCUUAAAAGAAGGAAUCCAAGUGUUGAAGCUUGAGUGUUGCAAUGGCAUGUGUUGUUUGUGAAGACAAAGGGAUAGUGUAUAUAUAGUUUUUAAGAUUGUGUGGGAAGGAAACCCAAAUCCCUGAGAAGAAUAGUGUUAAAGGAUAGAGGGCAUACGCAUGAGAUAUCACAUGGUGUUGUCUUCC
rnacentral:lncRNA from 1 species